rnacentral:rRNA from 1 species
GACAGAGGGUGCAAACGUUGUUCGGAAUUACUGGGCGUAAAGCGCGUGUAGGCGGCUAAGUAAGUCGGGCGUGAAAUCCCACGGCUCAACUGAGGAAGUGCACCCGAAACUGGCGAGCUUGAGUACGAAAGAGGAUCGCGGAAUUCCCGGUGUAGAGGUGAAAUUCGUAGAUAUCGGGAGGAACACCGGCGGCGAAGGCGGCGAUCUGGGUCGAUACUGACGCUGAGAAGCGAAAGCGUGGGGAGCGAACAGG